AUGGCCCCGCUGCCUUCUUGACCUUCCAGAUCUCUGACUGUAUCUUACAGAUCUCAAAAAUGAACAUCUGCCGCUUACAGCACGUUUUACAGGUUCCCACACAUCAGGUCAUGGACCGCUUUAAUGCCCAGGGCUACCAGGACACAGUCUCCUUCCUAAAAAGACUGAGUAAGUGACUGGAAGUGUGGACAGGUAGGUUGGGUGCUUCCCCUACAUCCUUGGUUUGCUGACACAAGGUAAGAGAUGCUGCCCCAGAGUGACUGGGGCAGAGAAAUGCCUGUAUUCCUGGCACGGCCAGGAUUCCUUGAUUCCUGGCCUCUCCUGAAGCUGCCUCCGGAGCCACACUCCCCUUUUCUCUGCCACACUGGGCAUGACAGAGCUUUCCCCAGGGAACACAGGUCCCAGGACCUCUAGACACAAGCGCAGGCUCACGUGCCCUGUGUGGUGUUUGAUAAGCUCCUGAUGCGCAGAGCAGCAAUGUUUGGUGAUUCCCGAGCCCCGGGAUCAUCAGUAUCCCUGAUUUCCACUCAGCCCAGGUCUCGCCUCACACUGCUGCAGAUCUGGCAGUUGAGCAACAAGCACUGAGAGCUGGAAUCUCUUCCCACCAGGGGAUUUCCAGGUGAAUUACUUUGAGGGCUUCACACUUUCCUUGGCCAAUGAACCAAAUCAGAAAGGUGACGAGACCCUGCACCUGAAGCCACGACUGAGGCUUUUUCACUCCAGAGCCACAGAUCAUGAGGAUGACAACAAAGAGAAUCCAGGAAUCAUCCAGGCAGCAGAUAAAGAAGAAUAGGAAGCCUCACACCACCUUCUCCACCCCAGGCAGGACCAGGUCGGCCACAGAAGAGCAUUUCUGAGCCUGCUGCUGCCUUUGGCCCCAGCUUCUGCUUUAAAAACCAAUGAGCAACUUGGAACCCAGCCUGAAGGCUGAGCCUGACCUGCCCUGAGGAGCACAUGGGCUCUGCCAGCAAUGCCACAGCACAGGCAGGGCCACAGCCCGGGAU